rnacentral:rRNA from 1 species
UACGUAGGGUGCGAGCGUUAAUCGGAAUUACUGGGCGUAAAGCGUGCGCAGGCGGCUUUGCAAGACAGAUGUGAAAUCCCCGGGCUCAACCUGGGAACUGCAUUUGUGACUGCAAGGCUAGAGUACGGCAGAGGGGGAUGGAAUUCCGCGUGUAGCAGUGAAAUGCGUAGAUAUGCGGAGGAACACCAAUGGCGAAGGCA